rnacentral:tRNA from 1 species
ACCUGGCUGGCUCAGUUGGUAGAGCAUGUGACUCUUGAUCUCUUGGUUGUGAAUUCGAGCCCCACGUGUGGUA